rnacentral:tRNA from 1 species
UGCAGCGUAGUUUAAUCGCUAAAGCCCCAAGCUCAUAACUUGGUCAAUGCGGGUUCAACUCCCGCCGCUGCGACCA